UAAAAUAGAGGAAAUUGAAGAGAAGUAUCUUAAUGCAGAUGAAGAGCAAAAGGGAUACUUACAGAUGUAAGAGUUAGACGACCACCCAAGAGAUUUGAGGAUUAUGUCGUAUAAUAUGGUAGUAGAUGUAAUAGAUACAAUAGCUAUAGAAUCUACAGGAAUGCUUAAAGACAAGUUAGGAGGUAUUAAUUUUUAAUGAUUUAUGUGGUGCUAAUAUUGGUGCUUUAAGAUUAAGCUGAAGAAUUGAGUUUUAGUCGUACUACCCUGUUAUGAGGUUUAAUAUGAAGAUUUUGAUGAAGCCUAUGCCUUGGCCAGGAUAGGAUGUGAAUUUGAUGAAUCCUAGCUUAGAGUUAGUAGAAUAACUGUUAGGAUUGAGAAUGAUUGUUGUUCCUUAUGAAUGGGUCGUGAGGACACCUGGAUAUAGUAAGAUCGAGGACAUUCUUAUGAAUGUUAUUCUGACUUAUAUUAUUGACUUGUAUAUUAUACUAUAUAUUUAGAUCUAUUUGAAUUCUCGAAAACAAAUUGCUAGGGAUAUAGGUUAAGGAGUUGUAAGAAUAAAUAUCUACCUGAAGGUCCCCAAUCAGUUGUGUAUGGCUAAAUGUGGACCCAGUAGAGCACUAAGCUAGAGUAUUUAAUGCUCAAUGAUGCAAGAAGUGCAAGGUCGGAAACAGUUAGUACAUACUCUGAUUCUCUAUAGGGCUGGGGAAGUUGAUGUGAUUUCUUGCAACAGUUAGAGCCUGUCAAUGUAUAAAGUUCAGAUUCUCUGGCUGUAUUUUGGUAGAGUGACCCAGUAUUGUAUGACAUAACGAUACAAAAUUUAUAAGGAACGGGUGUAUACAAUCUAGUGACAUGUCUAACCUCCUCGAGCACCAGAAUGUGUAACAUUUCUGAAUACAGCAGAAAAGGAGUGAACAAGACAUAUGUGUUGUUAUAUUGGUAUUGACGGAUAACUUGAAAUGUGAUUUAUGAUAAGGGUAGUAUACUUGAUUGUGAUGAAUUUGUUCCUAUAUUUUUUUUGUACGACGAAUUUUGGUCUCCCCUAACCCCAAAGGUGUGUAACGAGCACAAGGGAUGUGAAUUUAGAAUGACCCAAAAUUCGUCUAGAAACCCCCCUGUAUACACCUCACUUAGUCUUUAUGCAUAUGUAUUAUUUAAGUAUACCUCAGUUUUUUAGCUUUAAUUAUUUGAGAAAAAGGUACUUUAUUAUUUUUCUAGAAAGAUGAUAUUUUAUUUUAAUAGUUUUACAUGAAAUUCUAUAUAUUCCAAUAUUAUAUUUUUUCUAAGAUAAGAAAAUUGUAAAAUAUGAUAGUCUACCCUACAAAGUAUAAGCUUUUUUGUUACCCCCACCAUACAUUCUCUUUAUUUAAAGGGUACGCUAUUAUAUUACAAUAGUAUUAUUAUAUUAAGGUUGUAUAAUUGAUAUUUUUGUAAAGAAAACCAUAUAUAUUAUUUUUGUUAAUGGAAGGAUCCAUUUAAGUUCUGAAAAUUAUGCAUGUAUAGAUUAAGAAGGACUGUAUAAGUGUAAUAUAUGUGAUCUGAGUAGACUUUAAAAUUCAAAGUAUAUACAGUGCUAAAUCCUGAAAACAUAGCUAUAAUCAUAGAGAGAGAGAUCGAGAUCAGAGAGGAGUGCCAUACAGCAGCCUGAAAGAGUAUUUGAUUAUCGUGAAAUAUCUGAGCUCGAGGCUGGCACAUGGCACAUGGCUCUUGAAUAACAUCCGAUGUGUCUCUCUUGUUUAUAAGAAUUUAAAACCCAUUCAAAGAGAGUGGGUUUUUUUUUUUUGUUUCUUUGUUUUGUUUUGUUUUAUUUUUUUAUGGUUUGUUUGGUUCUUCUGAAGUUGUGAUUUAUGCGUCCCUGGGGCUGUGAACCAGAAUGAAAGAGCCCAGGACAUUGAUGAAGACAAGGAAAGAAGACACCUGAGAAGAACCAGAAGAAUAAAAGUGACAGGUUGGAAUACAACCAUUUGGGACAUUUAUUUUUGUAGAUGAAAGUUUAUUUUACUGUAGAUGUGUAAUGAUAUUUAACUCAAUAUAUCAACAACAAGUGUAAACUUA